UACGUAGGGUCCGAGCGUUGUCCGGAAUUAUUGGGCGUAAAGGGCUCGUAGGCGGUUUGUCGCGUCGGGAGUGAAAACCUACAGCUUAACUGUGGGCUUGCUUUCGAUACGGGCAGACUUGAGGCAUGCAGGGGAGAACGGAAUCCUGGUGUAGCGGUGAAAUGACGCAGACUAUACAGGGAGGAAACACCCGGUGGCGAAAGGCGGUUCUCUGGGCAUGUCUGACGCUGAGGAGCGAAAGUGUGGGGAGCGAACAGG
rnacentral:rRNA from 1 species